UUUACAUAAAGUUUUGUUAUUCAUUUUUUUAUCCGAGUCUCACAACAACCGUGUGAGGCAGGUGGAACAGGGAUUGCCAUUCCCUUCUGGCAAAAGACGAAACCGAGGCCCAGAACAGUUAAGUUACCAGAAUUCAUAGAGCCCAUUAUGUGGAACAGCCAGGCUAGAAUUCAGGCCCUUUGAGACAUUCCACGUUCGUUCCACUCUACCACGGAGAAAGGCUUGCCUUUGACAACUUGCCUGCCAGCUCCCUUGCCCACACUUGCUACUUUGUGACACCACGCUGCUUAUAUCCACCCCUGGGAAACUUCUCAUUUGUCUCCCCCUUCCACGGCGACCUUUUCUAGGCUACAGCCCCUCGUCCACACGCAGCUUUUCUCUGAUCUCAAGAACGUGUCCAUGCAGAGGAACUCUUUUUAAGGUUCUGUUUCAUGAGAGGGGCCGGGAGAACCUACCCACUGACCUAAUUUACUAAUUCUUGCUGAGAAGUUUGGGGAGUGAUUGUUACUCCUCCGAGAUAACAGCGCACUUUAAGAGAAGUUCUCAAUGCCUUACUCCAAAGGAUAGAUUCCAAUUGUGAGAGUUUUAGCGUUUUGGCUUAUUUUGAAGCGCCUGCAGAUCCUAUGAUGUAAGUGCCCCUUCCCCCUAACACACACCUGGGACUAGCCCCACCUGAGUGAGCUAACAAGCUAGUCGUCUAGUCCUUUGUGCAUAGGUGCCUUCUUCCUCUGAGCCCAGGGAACACAUCUUGACUCGCAGCUGAAGACUGGCUCCGUGGCCAGCUGGCACCCAGAGCUCUCCCAGGGAGAGUCAGCUUUUGGGAGCUAACGGCACACUCCUGCCUGGUCUGCAGCGCCUGCCAUAGGUCUCCCCUUCCCGUCCCUCCAGGGAGCUGGAGCUUCUCCUUCUUCCUGAGAUGCUCAGGGAUUCUUGUCAGAGGAAGGGUAGAAGGUAUCCUCUCCAUUUACAGACCACCUGAUUUCUCCUGCAACUGCAGUUUCCAGCAUUCUGACAGUCUUCCAUCUCAAGUAGCUUGUCUCUCUUCUCUGCCUGAGGCUUUCUUAGGCAGUGGAAGCUUGCUCUGCCUGAGCCAGGUGCAACCCGGAAGUGCAGGAUAGUAAAGAUCAUUGGCGCUGACCUUCAACCAAUGGGGAUGGAAUAAAUAUCACAGACUUCUCCUCCGAUGGGAUGAUUCUGAGGCAUGGUCCACAUGGUUUAUCAGAGAGUCUCCUGCAAGACUGAGUCCCAGCUGCCCACAGGAUAACUUGCUCGUUAACAUACUUGUUAGUAGCUUUUCUCCCUUCUUUGUCUCACUUUCCCCAUUUUCUUCUUGUGCUCCU
rnacentral:lncRNA from 1 species